rnacentral:sRNA from 1 species
GCUUUAAAAUGGCAGAUCGGAAUAAUAACUUAUCAAGCCACCUUCAUUAGUCAAUAUGUCUUUGUAUAAAUCUAAAUGAAUAGAAUUUUCUUUUGUAUUAGACAAAAAUGAAAUAUGUUUCAUUAAGAAAAUCGUUGUUUAAUGAUUGAACAGAUCAACAUUAAAGCCUGCAGAGUGUAGGUCUAUCAAUCUAAUUUAAAUAUGUCUAGUCUUCAUCCUGGAGUACUAUUCAACAAUGCAGG